rfam:Gossypium arboreum cultivar AKA8401 contig_327_1, whole genome shotgun sequence.
AACUCAUGAUAAGGUUACCUUCUCAAAAGAUCUUUAAAUCUGUCCCAUGCAUCAUAUAAUGUCUCCAUAUCAAAUUGAACAAAGUAAAAGAUGUCGUUUCUUAACU